rnacentral:lncRNA from 1 species
GGCCCACUUUCGUAAAGCUGACAUUUCUCAUGAAUAGCGAAUUCCUGAGUGUGGGCAGUAGACCAAGGCCAGGAAUUCUCAUUAGCUGGUGAUAAUCAGGCAUGACUUGGACUGUGGAAGGCAGCUGGGCGGAGAGGUCAUAGGUAUGGGCAGGGGUGAGCCACAGCUGAUAGCUGGGCGCGAUCUGCCUGGAUUGUUACUGAAAUACUAACAUGCUCUUUAUGGGUUAGUAACUCCCUUCACCUCCCCAACGGCUCCUACCCGCUGGGACCUUCACCUCCCCAUGAUCCAACAGUGAAAGAUUUAAUACCCACAUGACAAGGGCCUUCCAGACAUGGUCCAGCUGGGGUCUGAUGCUGAUUUGGAUAGAUCCAUGGCAAACUGAUGAAGAAAUUUUGGUCAGAGAGAUGAAGUAGCUCUGCCAGUACACAGCAUGGAAUUGAAAGCAAUGGGCCUGGCACUGACUGAGAGGUACUCACAGCUUGGGGCAGACUCCCAUUUGGAGAUGGGAUCCUGAAGAAGCCUGGAUGUUUGUGAUGGCGGUCAACAGAGCUUCCAGAAUGGUAAAGUCCAGUUCUGCUUGUGACUUGUUCAUGUGCCUUGCCAAGGGCUGUC